AGUUUUUUUUGCUGUGGGAUUCUGCAGCCCUUUAGAGGAGGGAGGGCUGUACCUGCACUGAACAGGCUGUGAAGUUUUUGCUGUCAGGACUGAAUUUUGUGUUCACCCAGUCAAGGAGUAGAAGCAUAUUCCAGAGAUGGAUUGCUUCUAAGUAAUAGACUUCUGAGUGUACAGAUUCAUAAAUGCCAUAAUGGAAAGACUAAAUGCCUGUACAUGCAGAACAGCUGGAUUCCAGCACUGGCAAUGCUGUUACAGAGGACUCCAGGCCUGAGAAACUCCUGUGAGAAGCAUGAGGAAUUUAUCAGAGCGUGGCUCAAUCACAAAUUACAUGAGUUUGUUGAAGAGAGUGACACCUACAUCCCUGGGCCAAUCACAGACUGAUCAUGCUGCUGGCAAAGUUACAUUUUCUCUGAAGGUGUAGCUAUGAUCCUCUGUGAGUCCCAAGGGAUCAGAGUAUUCCUCCUGCCACAGUGAAAGUUCUGUACACACUGGGAAAAUGAAAAGCAGCCACCCAGGUCACUGAUACCUAUUAACCAUCAAGUGAAUUUUCUGAACUUCUCUGUUUUCUUCAGAGCAGGAGGCACUAAAGCAGUUUUGCCCAGAUCUUGCAUGCAAACACUUCUGCUAAGCUUGAAGAUGAAACUGUUUAACAAACA